AAAUUGUUUAAUGCAUGUACUUUAUUAGAAUGAUAUUUUGAACACUGAGAUAAUGUGAUUUCAUUCUGCUCACAGUUACUCUAGUACACAGAUUUAAAACAAUGGUCAAAGCAGCAAUUACAUUAACUCACUGCAGGAGUCAUUAUACACUCAGGUAGUACUUUGGUAAAUUACAAAACAAAUGUACACAAGGGCACUUCAGUAGAAAUUAAAUCAGUUUGGGGACACAUCAGGCUGCUAAAUUCUGUACUAGAAUCCAACAGCAAAUGAGUCAUUCUUGGAAGUGGAAGAACUCCAUGAUUUCACAGCCUAGAACACUAAGUAUGACCACCAACGCACCAUUUCAACUAUCUAACAACCAAUGGGAGAGUCAAUUGUUCUCAUCCCAACUGCCAAAAGCAAAAGGCAGGCCAUCACAAGUUGGCUUGUUCACCUUCUAAAGACAUGACUUUAUUUCUGCCUAAGUCAUCUAUAUAAGCGAAUCUAAUAAAUACAAUAAAAUGUAACCCAACAAAAUUCUCAUGUCACUUUUUACAGACAUGGGUAUAUGAGAACCAUGGAGGUGCUAAAGAAAAAUAGAAGCAUUUUCUUAUUAUCAUAUUACCAUGAAAUUAAAUUUAUGUCUGUUCUAAGGAAAGAAACUAAAUGUCCUGUUUGAUAUUGAUGAGUAGGCCUACUCAUUCUCUACCAAAAUCCUAAAAAAAAUAAAAAUAAAAUUUCACUUAAAAAAUAAUUUCCUAGGAGGGCACAGUGCUGUAAUCCCAGCAAUUUGGGAGGGCUGAUGAGACAGCUGAAAUACACAUUUAUAAAUAUGUAUACAAUUUAGUAAUGUCACAUCAUCUGAAUUAAUUUCUUUUCUUUCUUUUUUUUUUUUUUUUUGAGAUGGAGUUUUUCGCUCUUGCUGCCCAGGCUGGAGUGCAAUGGCAUGAUCUCAGCUCACUGCAACCCCCAUCUCCUGGGUUCAAGUGAUUCCUCUUUCCUCAGCCUCCCGAGUAGCUGGGAUUACAGGUGUCUGCCACCACGCCCAGCCAAUUUUUUUUUUUUUUUUUUUUUUUUUUUUGGAUUUUUACUAGAGACAGGGUUUCACCAUGUUGGCCAGGCUGGUCUUGAAUUCCUGACCUCAGAUGAUCUACCCACCUUGGCCUCUCAAAGUGCUGGGAUUACAGGCAUGAGCCACUGUGCCUGGCCAAAUUAAUUUCUUUUGCAUGGUUGCUUUCACCAGUAAGUGGUCCAGAAUACAAAAUAUGGUAACAGAGAACUGUUUUCAUACUUAUUCCUUGGUACAGUUAUUAAAAAUAAAAACUCGCAUUUUAGGAUUAGGGAAGUCUGGAAAAAAAUUUUUUUAAACUUGGAGAUCACAUAUUGAAUAGCUGUCAAAAUUCAAACUGACUAGUUUUGAAGAACUUCAAAAACGUGUUCAAAUGAA
rnacentral:lncRNA from 1 species